CAGGUUUUGCAUUAGCAUGAAUUUCCUGAAGGGUAUUAAGUUUGAAACUCAAAUGUCUGUCAUUAUUUUCUAAGUCGACCCUCAACAGUUUGACAGUGAUUUGACAGAAAACCACAAUUUUAUUAAAAACAAACCAAAAACUUGAGACAAAAAUCUGGACAUUCCGCGAAAAUAUGUACAGUUGCACAUGCCGUGGGAAAACGAAAGAAAAAACCCUCACUCGAUUACACUGUAGUGAAUGAAACUUGUCUGAUUCUGAGCAGCACAAAAUAAUCGAGUGCAGCUUUCUGCGAUUUCAACAUCUUAAUCAAGAGGAGGCCAUUUAAAAUAACACUGCAGAAAAUGCCAGCGAAACGAAUUUUCUUACAGUCUCUGAAUAUUAGUAAAACUACUGAAGCAACAUAGUGAAGAUGUGCAUGAGUACAAAAGAAGAAAUGGAUUACUAUGAUCUCCAAAGAUUCUUCUACUCUCUUCAUGCUUGAUUCUGAUUGGCCUACCACGAUUAAAGGAAAACUACCAUUGAACUCUG